rnacentral:rRNA from 1 species
UACAGAGGUCUCAAGCGUUGUUCGGAUUCAUUGGGCGUAAAGGGUGCGUAGGCGGCGCGGUAAGUCGGGUGUGAAAUCUCGGGGCUUAACUCCGAAACUGCAUUCGAUACUGCCGUGCUUGAGGACUGGAGAGGAGACUGGAAUUUACGGUGUAGCGGUGAAAUGCGUAGAUAUCGUAAGGAAGACCAGUGGCGAAGGCGGCUCUCUGGUCCAUGACUGACGCUGAGGUGCGAAAGCUAGGGGAGCAAACAGG